rfam:Serratia sp. M24T3 contig01, whole genome shotgun sequence.
ACAUCAGCCUGAACACAACAAUUAUUACCACCACCAUUACCAUCGGUACUGGGGCGGGCUGACGCGUACAGGAAAAACAGAAAAAAGCCCGCACCUAACCAGUGCGGGCUUUUUUUUU